CCUACGGGGGGCUGCAGUGAGGAAUAUUGGUCAAUGGCCGCAAGGCUGAACCAGCCAAGUCGCGUGAAGGAAGAAGGACCUAUGGUUUGUAAACUUCUUUUAUAGGGGAAUAAAGGUAUCCACGUGUGGAUUUUUGCAUGUACUUUAUGAAUAGGCAUCGGCUAACUCCGUGCCAGCAGCCGCGGUAAUACGGAGGAUGCGAGCGUUAUCCGGAUUUAUUGGGUUUAAAGGGUGCGUAGGUUGUUUUUUAAGUCAGCGGUGAAAGUUUGUGGCUCAACCAUAAAAUUGCCGUUGAUACUGGAAGACUUGAGUGUGUUUGAGGUAGGCGGAAUGCGUGGUGUAGCAGUGAAAUGCAUAGAUAUCACGCAGAACUCCGAUUGCGAAGGCAGCUUACUAAGCCAUAACUGACACUGAAGCACGAAAGCGUGGGGAUCAAACAGGAUUAGAUACCCCUGUAGUC
rnacentral:rRNA from 1 species